CUACGGGGGGCAGCAGUCGAGGAAAUUUUACAAUGCUCGAAAGAGUGAUAAAAUGAGCCAAAGUGUUUCUCUUAGAGAAACUUUUAUUUGUUGUAAAAAGACAGAUGAAUAAGGACUGGGCAAGACCGGUGCCAGCCGCCGCGGUAAUCCCGGCGGUCCAAGUCGCAUCCACAUUUAUUGGGUCUAAAACAUCCGUAGCUUGUUUUGUAAGUCUCUUGUGAAAUUAUAUAUCUUAAGUAUGGAGCUUGCAAGAGAUACUGCAUAACUUGAGACCGGAAGACGCAAAGAGUAUGGUUAAGGUAGUGGUAAAAUAGGUUUAUCUUAGCCAGACUAACAAUAGCGAAGGCGCCUUGCGAGUACGGAUCUGACAGUGAGGGAUGAAGGCUAGGGGCGCAAAAGGGAUUAGAUACCCUGGUAGUC
rnacentral:rRNA from 1 species